rnacentral:pre_miRNA from 14 species
GACGGAGGUUCAGCCCCCGGACCCACGGUGCAGUGCUGCAUCUCUGGUCAGCUGGGAGUCUGAGAUGAAGCACUGUAGCUCGGGACGGCGGCGCAGCCUGCGAAGC